UGGGGAAUUUUGGACAAUGGGCGAGAGCCUGAUCCAGCAAUGCCGCGUGUGUGAAGAAGGCCUUCGGGUUGUAAAGCACUUUUGUCCGGAAAGAAAUCCUUGGCUCUAAUACAGUCGGGGGAUGACGGUACCGGAAGAAUAAGCACCGGCUAACUACGUGCCAGCAGCCGCGGUAAUACGUAGGGUGCAAGCGUUAAUCGGAAUUACUGGGCGUAAAGCGUGCGCAGGCGGUUUGUUAAGACCGAUGUGAAAUCCCCGGGCUCAACCUGGGAACUGCAUUCGUGACUGCAAGGCUAGAGUAUGGCAGAGGGGGGUAGAAUUCCACGUGUAGCAGUGAAAUGCGUAGAGAUGUGGAGGAAUACCGAUGGCGAAGGCAGCCCCCUGGGCCAAGUACUGACGCUCAUGCACGAAAGCGUGGGGAGCAAACAGGAUUAGAUACCCCUGGUAGUCCACGCCCCUAAAANGAUGUCAACUAGUUGUUGGGGGAUUCAUUUUCCUUAGUAACGUAGCUAACGCGUGAAGUUGACCGCCUGGGGAGUACGGUCGCAAGAUUAAAACUCAAAUGAAUU
rnacentral:rRNA from 1 species